UUCCGCGUGUACAAGUUCGUGCCGCCGGCGUGGGAGCUGGAGCUGAAGCUGGACGGGCUCAGCUGCCGCAGCCCCAUCGUCGCCAUGGCGCUCAAGAAGCUCGAGAUCGACUAUGACAAGACCGCUUGUGUGGUGGCUGCCGGAAAUUAUUCGAUGGAACGGUUCAACUUCAACGAUUUCUUCCCCAUCUACCAGCACCUCAUGCAGAAGGGGGAACAUUACAGGAUCCAGUUUGAGAUGUCUUCCCCUAAGGGGGUGAUGGGGUGUGUGGCGAUGACGCUCGUGAUCCGGCGUUGAAUCCCGGCCGGGGCAGAUGUCACUCAUUAUAGGAAGUGUUUGUAUCGAU